rnacentral:rRNA from 1 species
GUCUCCAGCCAUGCUACCCUGAACAAGCCUGAUCCCGUCUGAUCUCGGAAGCUAAGCGGGAUCAGGCCUGGUUAGUACUUGGAUGGGAGACCACCUAGGAAGACCAGGUGCUAUAGUUG